CAGCAGCCGCGGUAAUACCGGCGGCCCGAGUGGCGGCCACUAUUAUUGGGCUUAAAGCGUCCGUAGCCGGGUUGGUUAGUCUCCCGGGAAAUCUGGCCGCUUAACGGUCAGAAUUCCGGGAGAUACUGCCAGCCUAGGGAACGGGAGAGGCCGAGGGUAUUCCCGGAGUAGGGGUGAAAUCCUAUAAUCCCGGGAGGACCACCUGUGGCGAAGGCGCUCGGCUGGAACGGGUCCGACGGUGAGGGACGAAGGCCAGGGGAGCAAACCGGAUUAGAUACCCGGGUAGUCCUGGCUGUAAACGAUGCGGACUUUGUGUCGGACAAGCUAUGAGCUUGUCCGGUGCCGGAGGGAAACCGUUAAGUCCGCCGCCUGGGGAGUACGGCCGCAAGGCUGAAACUUAAAGGAAUUGGCGGG
rnacentral:rRNA from 1 species